CAGGACGAACGCUGGCGGCGUGCUAAACACAUGCAAGUCGAACGAUGAAGCCCAGCUUGCUGGGUGGAAGAGUGGCGAACGGGUGAGUAACACGUGAGUAACCUGCCCUGAACUCUGGGAUAAGCACUGGAAACGGUGUCUAAUACUGGAUACGACCUAUCACCGCAUGGUGUGUGGGUGGAAAGAUUUAUCGGUUUUGGAUGGACUCGCGGCCUAUCAGCUAGAUGGUGAGGUAAUGGCUCACCAUGGCGACGACGGGUAGCCGGCCUGAGAGGGUGACCGGCCACACUGGGACUGAGACACGGCCCAGACUCCUACGGGAGGCAGCAGUGGGGAAUAUUGCACAAUGGGCGCAAGCCUGAUGCAGCAACGCCGCGUGAGGGAUGACGGCCUUCGGGUUGUAAACCUCUUUUAGUAGGGAAGAAGCGAAAGUGACGGUACCUGCAGAAAAAGCACCGGCUAACUACGUGCCAGCAGCCGCGGUAAUACGUAGGGUGCAAGCGUUGUCCGGAAUUAUUGGGCGUAAAGAGCUCGUAGGCGGCUUGUCGCGUCUGCUGUGAAAUCCCGGGGCUCAACCCCGGGCCUGCAGUGGGUACGGGCAAGCUAGAGUGCGGUAGGGGAGAUUGGAAUUCCUGGUGUAGCGGUGGAAUGCGCAGAUAUCAGGAGGAACACCGAUGGCGAAGGCAGAUCUCUGGGCCGCUACUGACGCUGAGGAGCGAAAGCAUGGGGAGCGAACAGGAUUAGAUACCCUGGUAGUCCAUGCCGUAAACGUUGGGAACAAGGUGUAGGGCCUGUUCCACGGGUUCUGUGUCGUAGCUAACGCAUUAAGU
rnacentral:rRNA from 1 species